CACGUAGGGGGCAAGCGUUGUCCGGAUUUAUUGGGCGUAAAGAGCUCGUAGGUGGUUCGUUAAGUCAGGUGUGAAACCUCCAGGCUCAACCUGGAGACGCCACUUGAUACUGCUGUGACUGGAGUCCGGUAGGGGAGCGUGGAAUUCCUGGUGUAGCGGUGAAAUGCGCAGAUAUCAGGAGGAACACCAGCGGCGAAGGCGGCGCUCUGGGCCGGUACUGACACUGAGGAGCGAAAGCGUGGGUAGCAAACAGG
rnacentral:rRNA from 1 species